GCGAGAGGGUAAACUAAUCGCUCUCCAAUGCGAUAGGGUAAACCAAUUCUCCGGCACCCAAAAGGGUCUGCUCUCCAAUGCAAGAAGAUAAACUAAUUGCUUUCUAGUGCGAGAGGGUAAACCAAUUCCCCGACACCUAAAAAGGUCUACUCUCCAAUUCGAGAGGAUAAACUAAUUGCUCUCCAGUGCGAAAGGGUAAACCCAAUUCCCCAACACCCAUAUGGGUCUGCUCUCUAGUGUGAAAGGAUAAACUAGUUGCUCUCUAGUGUGAGAAAGUAAACCAAUUCCCCGAAACUUAUAUGGGUCUGCUUUCCAAUGCGAUAGGAUAAACUAAUUGUUCUCUAGUGCGAGAGGGUAAACCAAUUCUCCGACACCCAUAUGGGUCUGUUCUCCAGUGCGAGAGGAUAAACUAAUUGCUCUCUAGUGCGAGAAGGUAAAUCAAUUCCUUAAUACCCAUAUAGGUAUUCUCUUUAGUGCAAGAAGGUAAACGAAAUCCCCGACACCCAUAUGGGUCUGCUCUCCAGUGCGAGAGGAUAAACUAAUUGUUCUCCAGUGCGAGAAGGUAAACCAAUUCCCCAACAACCAUAUGGGUCUGCUCUCCAGUGCGAAAGGAUAAACUAAUUCCCUGACACCCAUCUAGGUAAGCUCUCCAAUGUGAGAAAGCCACAUAGCUCAAAAGAUCGAAUGCUUGAAGAUCAACUAGGCAGCAAAUGGUCAGGGGGCAGCAGCCACUUUUGCACUUAACAGUUCGCUCAUCCGACACUUCAUCUUCAGCGGCUCUGAUCUUGGCAGCUUCAUCCUUGACUGCUUUAUCUACGACAACAGAGAAAUCAAACUCAAGCAGUUUUAUCAUAUUUGGUAAGCAGCCUAGACGUGGCAGCCCAAACUGUGGCCCAUGCCA
rnacentral:lncRNA from 1 species